rnacentral:rRNA from 1 species
GGCAAAUCCGGAUAAUCAAGGCUGAGGUGUGAUGACGAGGCACUACGGUGCUGAAGUAACAAAUGCCCUGCUUCCAGGAAAAGCCUCUAAGCAUCAGGUAACAUCAAAUCGUACCCCAAACCGACACAGGUGGUCAGGUAGAGAAUACCAAGGCGCUUGAGAGAACUCGGGUGAAGGAACUAGGCAAAAUGGUGCCGUAACUUCGGGAGAAGGCACGCUGGUGUGUAGGUGAAGUCCCUGCGGAUGGAGCUGAGACCAGUCGAAGAUACCAGCUGGCUGCAACUGUUUAUUAAAAACAUAGCACUCUGCAAACACGAAAGUGGACGUAUACGGUGUGACGCCUGCCCGGUGCCGGAAGGUUAAUUGAUGGGGUUAUC